rnacentral:rRNA from 1 species
CCUACGGGAGGCAGCAGUGGGGAAUAUUGCACAAUGGGGGAAACCCUGAUGCAGCGACGCCGCGUGAGUGAUGACGGCCUUCGGUACGUAAAGCUCUAUCUGCAGGGACGAAAAUGACGGUACCUGACUAAGAAGCCCCGGCUAACUACGUGCCAGCAGCCGCGGUAAUACGUAGGGGGCAAGCGUUAUCCGGAUUUACUGGGCGUAAAGGGAGCGUAGGCGGCAUUGUAAGUGAGAAGUGAAAUCCCCGGGCUCAACCUGGGUGCUGCAUUUGAAACUGGACGGCUGGAGUGCAGGAGAGGAGAACGGAAUUCCUAGUGUAGCGGUGAAAUGCGUAGAUAUUAGGAAGAACACCAGUGGCGAAGGCGACUUUCUGGACUGUAACUGACGUUGAGGCUCGAAAGCGUGGGGAGCAAACAGGAUUAGAUACCCUGGUAGUC